ACCCACCUCCACCUCCACCUCCACCUCCGACCCCGCGCUCCCAACCACCACUACCUCAGCCCCCAAGUCGUUGCCCCGCCCCGCCGCCGCGGGCCUCCUCGCCCCACUCGCAGCCUCUGCGCGCACCAUCCUCGCGUCGGCGCGGCGCUCCCCGGUGACCACGCUCGCCGCCGCCUUCUUCCUGCUCGCGCUCGUCAUGUACGGCGAGGACGCGCGCACCAUCGCCGAGCUCUCCAUCAACGACUACCUCUACCCGGACGCCGACCUCUACAACGUCUCUGGCCUGCCGCCGCUCGUGCUGCCGCCCACCUGCGACCUCUCCCACGGCCGCUGGGGUUGGAAUGCAUGCCGACGGUUAGUGCUGGGCCCAUUAUUUGUGGUUUGGUAAGUCCAAAUUGGCAAACUCUUAGAGAUGCUCUAAAUAUUUCACUUGUCAUUUAUUUUACAGAGUUGCCAAACAUCACAAUUUGGCAAGCUAGAAAUAGUAAACUCUUGGAGAUGCUAACGGGCCUUCGAAUCUAGUGCCGUGCAGUCCAUCCGGCCAGCUUUCGGUUUCUCGAUAGAAGAUUAUAUUGGAAGCACGUACACCAGGCUUCGGUAUCAGCGGCAUCACUCUGGAUCAUUGCCUCAUUGGACGAAACAAGCUGAGGCGCCCGACGUGCUGCGUGGCCACCCAGCAAGUUGCUAAUAUGCAACGAUGAGAGCGCUCCACGGCCACGAGCGGGUUUGUUUACGUGAUCCAGUGUCCAGAAACCACGCUAACAUGUGGAGAGGAGUUAGAGGAGGCCGUAGCUAUGCAAAUGCAAGUGUAUGCACACUCUCUCGAUUUAACCGCUGCCAGUAUAGUAUUGGCACAUUUGCUAUUAGUUUACCACUUGUUCAGCUCCUUCAGCUGUGGUUUCUGAAUCAACCAGCUGUGUGCACUGUGCAGGAUCUGGCAAGUGAUACCCUAAAUGUCUCCGACUAUACACGGCCUCUCCUCCUAAACUAAUCGAACCAAGUCUCGUGAAAACAGAGUAAUAGUAUUGUUAGAUCGCCAUGUGUGUCAUCAUCUCCCAGGCAUCCUAAGCUAAAUAAAAUAACUGUCCAUCAACGAUCUCCUAAUGCUAAAAUUAGCAACUGAUGGAGUGGGAAAUAAUCCGAGAGAAGGUGGACAUAAUGGUAGACCAAUCUACACUCAUGUGCCAAAAUUGAGUCUAUUUGGUUGUAUAUGCAUUAGCAUAUAUCCAGAAUUUGUGAUGCAGUCUAACCGUUGGUGAGAACUUUAUGUGGACUUCCACAGUGCUCAAAGCAUAUACAAUGCAGCAUUUGUCCAAAUUUGUCCUAAAUCAAAGUUCUCUCGCUUUUAUCAAGCUUUUUACAUAAUAACAUUAACAUGAACAGAUUCAAAUAAAUGAUCUAUUAAAACAUAUAUCAUCAAAAAUCUAUUAUAGAACUAAUAAUUUGAUAUUCUAGAAUUUUUUUGAAAAAAAAGAAAAGUUCCGAUCUCGGUGAUUCGAUGUUCUACAUAUUAAUGCAUUUCUCUAUAUAUCAGAUCAGAGUUAAAUACAUUUCACUUAGAAUAAAACAAAGGGAGCUAUAAUUUGAAACGAAGGGGGCUAGUCUUGUUCGCUUGAGCAUUUGCCGAAUCUGCUAACCAUUAGAAGUGUUUUUCUCUUACAACAAAUCAACGAAAAGUACUUUCAGCCAUGACUUUUCAGAGAAACGAACAUGCUUUAACAUAAACAACUGAUUAAAUAAUGCACUUAAUUGAUGCGACCAUGUAUGUGCAGAGUGCUAUCCGCCUGCACGCUCCAGUGUCCAUUGUCAACGUACGCUGUCCCUCCCAAAGCGAGGGGCUCUGCCCUAGAAGAUCGAUCGAGUGAUGGACCAGUGUCGUUGGUAAUCCCGUCCAAUGCCUAACUUCAGAGCACAGUAGUGUGGACGAUCGUUUCGUCGGGAAGACAGUGCAUUGUAGACUUGUAGUUCAUCGCUCCACAUACUCAACCAUGAAACUGAGCGUAGCCAACUCGAUCGUACAACUGGUGAGCUACGCAUAUUCUUUUGAUUUUCUAUCGUCCAAUCCGAUCUUGCUGCAACUUUAAUUAAUUUGUUCUUCCUUCUCGAACUGAUGAUACGUAGACCUUUGAUCCGAUGCUGCUUCAUGCUCUUUGUUGUUUCCCUAGCUGGUCAAAUCUGGACGGAAAUCCGGCGGCAAUGCUCGAUCGCGCCGGGCCGUCGAAAUGAAGGGAAUCGAGAUCAAGGCGGCGGCGAACGUAUUGCCGCCGCCGAGAAUCCUCGCCGCCCUCGCCUUGGCAGCAUGGACCUUCUUCCUCUACGUGCAUUUCUCCAUGAUCAGCGGCACGGUGGAGGUGAACAACGUGGAAGGCCUCGCCGACCCGUGCCGGGGACGGUACAUCUACAUGCACGACCUGCCGCCGCGUUUCAACGCCGACAUCAUCCGCAACGACUGUCGCAACACUGAGGGCCACUGGGGCGACAUCUGCGCCUCCCUGAGCAACGGCGGCCUCGGCCGUCCGCUCGCCGACGACGGCGGUGUCAUCACGGGCGGCGCCGGGUGGUACAGCACGCACCAGUUCGCGCUGGACAUCAUCUUCCACAACCGGAUGAAGCAGUACGAGUGCCUGACCAACCACCCCGCCGUGGCGUCCGCCGUGUUCGUCCCGUUCUACGCCGGCUUCGACUUCGCCCGCUACCACUGGGGCUACGACAACGCCACCAGGGACGCCGCGUCGGUGGACCUGACAAGGUGGCUCAUGGCACGGCCACAGUGGCAGCGCAUGGGCGGGCGCGACCACUUCCUCGUCGCCGGGCGAACUGGGUGGGACUUCCGGAGGAUCAGCAACCUCGGCGCGGACUGGGGCAACGACCUCCUCGUCAUUCCGGGAGCCCGGAACAUGUCCGUCCUCGUGCUGGAGUCCACGCUGAAACGCGGCACCGACUUCUCCGUGCCGUACCCGACCUACUUCCACCCCAGGUCGGACGCCGACGUGCUCCGGUGGCAGGACCGGGUGCGCCGCCGGCGCCGGACGUGGCUCAUGGCGUUCGUGGGCGCGCCGCGGCCGGACGUUCAGAUGAGCAUCCGGGUCCGGGAUCACGUCAUCGCGCAGUGCAAGGCGUCCGGCGCCUGCGCCAUGCUGAGCUGCGCGCGCACACCCAGCAGCACGCAGUGCCACACCCCCGCCAACAUCAUGCGGCUGUUCCAGAAGGCCGUCUUCUGCCUGCAGCCGCCGGGCGACUCCCCCACGCGACGGUCGGUGUUCGACUCGAUGGUGGCCGGCUGCAUUCCGGUGUUCUUCCACACGGGGUCGGCGUACAAGCAGUACCCGUGGCAUCUCCCCAAGGACGACCACCUCAAGUACUCCGUGUACAUCCCGACCGCGGACGUGAGGCGGCGCAACGUGAGCAUCGAGGCCGUGCUCCG
rnacentral:lncRNA from 1 species